rnacentral:tRNA from 1 species
GUCCGUAUAGAUUAGUGGUUAGAUCGUCGUGUUGUGGUACCGCAAAUCCGCGACGACCCAGGUUCGAAUCCUGGUACGGACA